rnacentral:rRNA from 1 species
UACGUAGGGGGCUAGCGUUGUCCGGAAUCAUUGGGCGUAAAGAGCGUGUAGGCGGUUUGGUAGGUCCGUUGUGAAAACUCGAGGCUCAACCUCGAGACGCCGAUGGAAACCAUCAGACUAGAGUCCGGAAGAGGAGAGUGGAAUUCCUGGUGUAGCGGUGAAAUGCGCAGAUAUCAGGAGGAACACCGGUGGCGAAGGCGGGUCUCUGGGCCGAUAUUGACGCUGAGGAGCGAAAGUGUGGGGAGCGAACAGG